GCCCGGAUAACACAAUUGGUUAGUGUGUUCGGCUUUUAAUCCUAACAUCUAGUUAGGUUUCAGGAGACCGAAAAGUUCUGGGUUCGAGUCCCAGUUCGGGCG